rnacentral:rRNA from 1 species
UACGUAGGGUGCAAGCGUUGUCCGGAAUUAUUGGGCGUAAAGAGCUCGUAGGCGGUCUGUCGCGUCUGCUGUGAAAACCUGGGGCUUAACCCCGGGCCUGCAGUGGGUACGGGCAGACUAGAGUGUGGUAGGGGAGACUGGAAUUCCUGGUGUAGCGGUGAAAUGCGUAGAGAUCCGGAGGAACACCGAAGGCGAAGGCAGUGUCCUGGCGAGUGACUGACGCUGAGGAGCGAAAGCGUGGGGAGCGAACAGG